CUUUACUGUAGCUUUACAUUGGACUUUGAACAGAUCUGUGUAGGAUAGGUGGGAGGCUUUGAAGCGGUGCCGCUAGGUGUCGUGGAGCCAACGUUGAAAUACCACCCUGGUGUGUUUGAGGUUCUAACCUUGGCCCGUUAUCCGGGUUGGGGACAGUGUAUGGUGGGCAGUUUGACUGGGGCGGUCUCCUCCCAAAGUGUAACGGAGGAGUUCGAAGGUACGCUAGGCACGGUCGGAAAUCGUGCUGAUAGUGCAUUGGCAUAAGCGUGCUUGACUGUGAGACGGACAUGUCGAGCAGGUACGAAAGUAGGACAAAGUGAUCCGGUGGUUCUGUAUGGAAGAGCCAUCGCUCAACGGAUAAAAGGUA
rnacentral:rRNA from 1 species